rnacentral:rRNA from 1 species
GAUGAACGCUGGCGGCGUGCCUAAUACAUGCAAGUCGAGCGAACAGACGAGGAGCUUGCUCCUCUGACGUUAGCGGCGGACGGGUGAGUAACACGUGGAUAACCUACCUAUAAGACUGGGAUAACUUCGGGAAACCGGAGCUAAUACCGGAUAAUAUAUUGAACCGCAUGGUUCAAUAGUGAAAGACGGUUUUGCUGUCACUUAUAGAUGGAUCCGCGCCGCAUUAGCUAGUUGGUAAGGUAACAGCUUACCAAGGCAACGAUGCGUAGCCGACCUGAGAGGGUGAUCGGCCACACUGAAACUGAGACACGGUCCAGACUCCUACGGGAGGCAGCAGUAGGGAAUCUUCCGCAAUGGGCGAAAGCCUGACGGAGCAACGCCGCGUGAGUGAUGAAGGUCUUCGGAUCGUAAAACUCUGUUAUUAGGGAAGAACAAAUGUGUAAGUAACUAUGCACGUCUUGACGGUACCUAAUCAGAAAGCCACGGCUAACUACGUG